rnacentral:lncRNA from 1 species
AUGCAUCCAGAUCUACCUUCUCGGCCUCAAAGUGAAGAUGGUACCUAUGUAUUUUGUCCACUGUUUUGGAAUAGACUGAGAAGGAAUAAAUGCAGUGUGCAAAGCCUGGAGCUUGGGGAUCCACAAGAAGAAAGAGAAAAGGGCACGUGCUGA